UACAGAGGGGGCAAGCGUUGUUCGGAAUUACUGGGCGUAAAGGGCGCGUAGGCGGCCUGUUAAGUCGGACGUGAAAUCCCCGGGCUCAACCCGGGAACUGCGUCCGAUACUGGCAGGCUUGAAUCCGGGAGAGGGAUGUGGAAUUCCAGGUGUAGCGGUGAAAUGCGUAGAUAUCUGGAGGAACACCGGUGGCGAAGGCGGCAUCCUGGACCGGCAUUGACGCUGAGGCGCGAAAGCCAGGGGGAGCAAACGGG
rnacentral:rRNA from 1 species